CUCGGAUUGGGUGACCGGAAGCAGGGAGGGGAAGAUGGCGGAGUGAAGGGGAAGAAGUGGAGCGAGAGCUGCUGCGGGCUGCGGCCCUGGGGCCCCAGCCGGGGUCUGUGCCCCUCCAGACCCAAGCAUAUAUCAUAGUACUUGGAAGUCAAAAUUUGCAUUAACUGAAAGCUACAGGCAAAAAUGAUAAAAUGAUCAGUGCAGCAUGAAAUGAAAGAGAAAUUAUAAUGGAAUUGGAAGCAAACAAAUGUCCCUAUCAUCCAAAAGGGAGGAGAAGUCAAGAAUGAUCCAUCACUAAAGAUAAAAACUUCUUCAAGGUCUUUUCCUUUUGACCCAGGAGAUUCUGUUUCUUAAAGAGUUGUUAUUCCUGAAUGCCCAUCUUGAGAAGAAAACUCUUCCUUUAUUUCUCUAAAUGGAAAUGAAGACAUGUUGCUUUGAUUCUUUUACAUCUCCUCAUCAUAAAAAAUUACCACAUGAAGCAGAAUUAUACGGGAUGAAAGUACAAUCCUUGCAAAACAACUAAAAUGAAUAUAUGGACUCUCAUGUAAACCAGGCCUUUGCUUAUGGUUUUUGCCCUUUAAACAUGAUUGUGCAUUACAAUAUGAGUAAUUGUCAAUUCUUGUUAACACUUUGAUUCAUUCAGUAUACUUCAGUAAAACAAUUCACCACAAAAUCUUUGGAGAACUUAACAAAUUGGUAUAUUCUUGAAAUACUGUCUCAUAAAUCUUGAUGAAAAAAUGUGGCAGAAGAACCAUGAAUGUACAUGUGUUACAAAAGAUAAAAGAGAAGUAGUUUGAAAGAUUUUCCUUCCUUAAAAGAGCCAGUUUAUAAUUAGAUUUUAAUGGAAUCUUGAUGCAAGUAAAUCUUGAUGCAACUAUGUAAAGUUGCAUCAAUUGAAUUAUGCAUAAUUGAAUUAUAAAGCUGGAAAGUGGGGAUAUUAAUAAUAUGUCCCACAAAAUGAAGGUUGGAGACUUAAAGGUAUAGAAAGUAAGCCUUGGACAGUAGAAUUUACUUGGUAUCCCAUUUCUUUCCUAAGGAAUUCAACUAUAAAAGGAACAAUGACUUAAUUAUCCAGGCUUUUACCUGAAAGAAGGAACAAUGCCAGUAUAACCUUGUAUGUAAAACUCCACUGCAUGAACAAAAAUUAGGCAUGCUCAGGAAGGGCUUCUUUAUUAUUUCUUAAUAGGUCACCCAGAGUUAAGGUGGGAAUUGUGUUUUAAACAUGUUUUGCAGAACAUUCUUUGCAUCGUGUUUGUUUCUACUAGACUAUUUCAGGCUGGUUUAAAAGCUGCUUUUUACCACAAUGGGUGCAAAGGCCUAUGUCUUCUUCCCUUGCUGAGCCAUGGAGCACCUUAUUUCAGUUUUAUUAAAAGGUUAAUGUGGGUUUGCUGAUAGUUUUAACAAUAUCCUCACUCUUAGUUAAAGGAAGUACAUUUGUAACACAAUUGUUAGUCAUAGCUAAGAAUGUUGAAUGCUUUUGGCUGAUUGUUAUUUUUCAAAGUUAAAGUGGCUUCUAGAAGAACAUUUGGGAUGUUUGUAUAUUUUAAAUAGUUUAAUAAGGGGGAUAUGCCGAGCAAAGCAUUUAUAUUUGCUUGUCAUCAUGUUGUGUUUAGCUUAUAUAUGAUAAAAGAGUAAACAUUAUUUUUGCUUUAUUUGAAUAAAAAUGAAGUAGAGGUAGUCCUCAUUUAGCAACCACAGUUGGAACUGGCAUCUUGGUUAUUAAGCAAAGCAGUCAGUAAAUGAAACUGACCUGUUGUUGAGAUCUUACUUCCGCUUUCCUUUGCUUUACAGACUUGCAAAUAUAAAUACAAGGAUUAGUUAUAAAGUUACUUUUUCAUCACUAUUGUAACUGGCAUAAUAAGAACUAAAUAAGGACUACCUGUACAAUUGGUUUUUUUUAAGUGUUACAACAGAACACUUUCAGAGGGCUUAAACUCUAUAGCCACAGGACAAAAAUGAAAUAUUUCAUAGUCAAAAGAGUUGUGAAAUUUGGAAAUUUACUCAUACACAAGUUUAAAUUUUAAAAUAAUUUGGAUACCUUUUGGAUUUAUCAGGGCUUCAGAAGUAAAACCUAUCUUAAUGAAGUUGUUCUCUGAAACUCUUACUAAAAAUUAGAAAGCAUGAAUUUAAUCAGUUUUUUUGGAUGUUGCUUCAGCUAUUUAUACCUCAGAGAUUUUUGGGGAGAAGAUAAUACAGUACAUGGGGGGGGGGAUGUAAUUUAGUUUCCCCAAAUAAUUAGAAAACGAUCAUAUUGUUUAAGAAGAAAACCAAUUCUUUAUCUCCUUUCUCACUAAAUGCCACUGUAAUAAUGUAUCUAUUUCUAUUGAAUAGGACUGAAUUAAGAGUAAACCUAGCAUUUGAGAAAACAACAACACCACUGCUCUCUAUGCCCGGGAAAUAACUUUAGUUUAGUUAUCCAUGUGCAUCUUCUUAACAGUUCUAUUCGCAGGCAAUAUUGCCUUAAUUUUUUGUUUGUUUUACAUACUCAUCUGUUGUCCACCUUGGCAGGAAAUCUUUCACAUCUGAAAGAUGAAGCAAAUAUGGGGCAUGUGCAAUAGUAUAAUAUAUACAUAUAAAUAUAUUUUAAUACUUGUGGACAAAAUGUUACAAGUUGUUUGAGAACAACAAAAUCACCAAUGUCUUCCAUUUUAAAAUGUGUAUAGUUCCAUAAGCAUUAGUGCUUUGUAGCAAAACUGUAGUGCCAUGUUAGGAUCAGUGCAUGAGCCUAGUAGUACUUUUUUACAAUUUCAGAGUGACAAAUUAAUGAAGCUGAUGAUGUAACUUAUAGGAAACUGACAUGGUUAUGGUCAUGAUCUAAAGAUGCAGUGUCCUUUCUAGGCAAUGGUAGAAGAAACUGCUGCAUAGAAUCAGUGAGAUGUGAAUUUCAUAGUGAUUGCAUGAAAAUCUUUAACCAGCCAGGUAUAUUUUGAGUGCACUUAACUGCAUGUAAAAACCCUAGUAGAAGUAAUAAUCUUUAACAAAACCCCUUGUGAAUCAUGGAAUAUUUUGCUAUAAUGAGAAAAAAAAACUGAUAGUGUAAAUUUUUAAAUUUUAGGGACUAGAAUAAAGCAUAUGACUAGUCUUUCCCAUUCAUGCUUUUUUCCAGAAAAACUUUUGAUAUGUUUUUGAAUCAGAUUUGUUGAUUGUUUUUGUGCUUGCAUUAAGACAGGAAUUGGUAACCUUUUACAAUGUAAUUGUUGCUUGUAGAAACUGAAUGAUAGAUUGGAGCUUGCACAUAUCUGCCAAUGUGGCAGCUAUUAAUCAAGAGUAGCAUCUUGCAAAAUUGACUAUCUAGAAACACUGUCACUGUACUGCUAAUUCUGAAUGCAUCUAAGUUAUUAGCAUUGUUUAUUAUUAAAAUAUUUUUUUUGCUUACCUCAUUAUUUUGGUAAAGCAUUUGUUGGAGUUUUCUUACUAAUUAGUCACAUUUAUUUCUUGCAUCCAAAUAUCUAUAUAUUAUAGUAAUUAAUCUUAGUAGAUUUCCCCCCUCUUUUCUGAAAUUACACAGUUAGGUAACUCAUCUACUUUAUUUUUGGUUUAAACAAGUCAUGUUUUAAGUUAUGAAUCUAGUUCUUUGUGAUCUUUAUGGUUUAAAUGCUACUUUUAGCUUAAAGGGGAUACUGCAUCUUUUUUUAAAAAAAAAGAACUUCUCUAUAAAUGGCCACCUUGAUGAGAGAAAAGAUGUCUUUGACUUUGUAUUUCUUUAUUGGCAAAACAUAAUAUGAUACUUGUAACUGUAAUUCUGUAAAUUGCAGAAUUACAUUUAAAGAUCUCUCUAUUUUCUCAUUGAAAGUGGCAAGGUGUGUCGUUUGGAGAUGAAUUGUAAGGACCUUGAGAUCUUUUGGGGCUCUCUUCUGAACAGCAGUAUAAUUGAAUAAAAUGGGGCUGAUGAUUGGGAGAAUUGAUGGAAAAAUACCUCUGAAACUGGAAUGCAAAAUAGCACAGUAUGUGGGAGGGGGGGAAUCCCUGAUGCAAAUAAAGCCAUAAGAUGACAAUAAAUAGAACUUUAGUAGCAAUAACUGUUUGCAUGUAUUAGGAUGUAACUUGCAUUGGCAAGAAUAGUAUAGUAGAAUAAAUGGUAUUAACCAAAUAGGUUUGCUGUGCUCUGUGUUGCAGGAAGUUGAAUUUCUCAUUAAAAGUUGGUAAGUUCCUCUCUACCACAACACUAUGUGCUUGAAUGCUAUAGGGUGAAGCUUAGAAAAAUUUGAGAAUGAUUUUAUUUUUCAAAAAUGAUACAAUUAGGAAAGGUUUAUUGUGUGUGAAACUGAUGAGAACUUACACAGAAUGCUUAUAGAUAAUUGAUCAUCAUUUCUGAAGUAACUAAGAAUCCCUGAGGCUGGAUUCUGUCCAGGAAUAUAAUUUAGGAGUUUGGGGAUCCAAAUUUUUGAACCGAAUUGUGAAUUUCUUUAAAAGAAAAGUGCUUCUAUAAUUUAGUGCUUGUAUAAUUCUUGUAUUCAUUUUCUUUUAUAAACAAAUCUGAUCUGGUUUCAAUAUAUACUUUUUAAAUUUUAUAAAGCCACUUGUAGACUUGGAAGAAGGAGAGCAACUUUCAGUUUACUCUGUCUGGCAAACUCUUACCUUUAUCAUUCUAGAGAAUGCAGUUUAUAUCUCUUUAAAGUUCAGUUGCACGAACUUUGUAUGCAUGUGCAUACUGAAGACCAGGUAAACUAUAAAUCUAAUAUAGAAAUCUGCCAUAAGUAGGAUUUGAUUGACCAGAUUCAACUGCAAGGCUGGGACAUAUAUUUAAAGAAAGUGGCUUUACUUUUAUUUUUGUUUUACAUUCUUUGGUAUCAUUUAUCUAUAUGGAUAAGGUGGCAGUUUUAAAAUGAAAGGCAUAUACACGCAUGCAUGUUUAUAUACAUUCUAUAGAACUUUCUGUUCUACGUAUUUAUACUGAUCAAUGCAAAUUAGCACAAGUAUCUAAAAUAUUCAGAAGUUUAAUCAAACAUUUAGUUCAUGUUUUGUGACUUUUGAUCACAAAAUAGAUCGGAGGUAUUCAUUAAACUCAGUUUUCCUGGAAAAUUAUUUGCACUUAUGGUGGUUGUCUACUUGCUUAUUUAAAUAUCCAUUUGCAGAAUCCUGAAGGUAUCUUGUAUCUAUAUCAGUACAAUUUUCACUGCUCACAUUUUUUGAGCAGCUAAUUUACAAACCUUUUUCACUGUUCGCUCAGCUGGUGCUAGGCUGAAUAGAACAUUGCUCGUAAAAAAAUUUUUUACUCUCAUCUGAAUGUGAGGACUCAGGAUUGCAUGAAAGACUUGAAUGUGGUGCUAUUCUGGAAGAACUAGUUAGACUGUUAAUUGCUUGCUAAAGUGUCUAAAUCGCAGAACCACAGCCUCAUCCUAGAGUACAUUACUGCCUUGAUCUAAGUGAUAAGGGACUAUAGUAUUACUGGAAAUUCAGUACUGAAAUAUAUAUGAUUCUAAAUGCAGAUGAGAGAAAAUUCUUAAGUGGCUCUUCAUUGUACUUACUCUGCCUAUUCUCUGUGUAGUUUCUCCUUUCUUUAAUUGUAAUAAUUUUUUUGAUAGCUCUUAAUUUUUGACUGCAGAUCAGUUUCAUUGAAACAUUAAUAGUAUUCUUGAUGAAAGACUCCAUAGAGCUUGCAUUUCAUCCAUCAAUAUUUUAGUACUUUUAAAAAUGUUUAAUCAUCACUACCUACUCUCUAAAUUUAUGGUGAAAUCCAUUUUAAUAUAAACUUCCCUUUGGAUUUUUAGAUUUUCCUUUAUUUUGCACUUUGAAAAACAAUAAAUCAAUGUAAGCACAAUAUUGACGCAGGUGCCAAAAAAUAGUUCUCACAAACAGGCUUCUGGAAUAGAGAUUGCAAGUAGUUCUUUGAUGGUUCAGUCAAGAUCUAGAGAGGCUAAGCUGGUUUGAGGUUUUGCAUUAGGUUUGUAUGUUUGGGAUGGGUUCAGGAGGAGCCCAUAUAUAUAUAGAGAGAGAGAAGCAGGGAAUUGAACUGUUCCAGAAAUGUGGAAAAAUUGUGGCUACACAUAAUGCAUAGACUUAUACAAAGAUUGCUGGAAUAAAUACAUUGGUGUAUCUCUUAAUAAAGGGGGAUGAAAGAACACUUAUGCAAGGGUUUGUUAUUGGAAUCUGAAAAUAAUUAGAGAAUGCAUUUGGUUAUGGGAGGGUGACUAUUUCUUGCAUUCUGGAGAAGAAAGCUAUGUGCAGAGAGGAACUGAGUUCAUUCUAGAAACAUGGGAAAUGAAUGAUGGAGGCUUUGAAUCUGAGCACUUCCUAGCUGGUUUUAGAUGGAAUUUCCAAGUUUUCCAAGUCGCAGCACAACAAAUAUUCCAUAAAGUGUAGUAUUUCUUAAGGACUGGAUAUUGCAAUUCUUUUCUUUUCCAUGCAGGUGAAGAGGUUACAAAACUAUCAGAAUGGAAUACUUGUGUGGGAAAAACCACUGGCACAAGCACAUAGACUCACAAACCGUCUUUUUUUAGAGAUAGUAUUCUAAUUAUGCAUGAUUAAAAUGUAUAGUGUUAUAGCUAUUAUCAGUAAAUUGAUAUAUGCAUUUAUACAUUAUGAAGCAAUAGGAACCAAUAUACCAAUAGCUUGAAUUUACUGCUUUGAUUCUCAGUUUUUUUAGACAACAUGCUGCCUCUUUAGUAAAGGGGCAAAAUGUACAAAGAAGGGAUGAAGCAUGACGCCAAAACUGUGUAUUAGAAAAAGGAAUCAGUAGAAUGAACCCUUUUGGCCUCUUACCAAGUUCAUAGCCGCUCAUGAGCCUAUAUAAUAUGAACAUGGUUAAUGGUAAUUUGGGUUUCCUGGUUGCUGCAGUUGUACAAACAAAAAAGGUGCAGAGUUUCACAGCACAGAAAAGGGAAUACAUAAAUCCCAAAUGGGGCAAUAAAAAUGAUCUAAGCAGUUUAGGGUUUAUGACUAUUUUUAAGUAGAGAUAGUAAAUUUAGCCAGAGCUUUUUGCAGCUAAAAAAACAAUGAGUAAUUAAAAUGAGUAAGCUGUCCAUACUUUUCAGGUAUUAAUUCUUUGUAAGAUAGGUGUAGCUUUUCAGGUUUUUUCCCCCACCACUUUGGCAGCUGGAUUAAAAUGAACUGGGUUCAAACCAGCAAUAAUGAUAACUUACCUUAUGAAAAUUGGAGAUAUUUAAAUAUUAUUCAUUCAAGUUGUAUUUAAAUAGGGAGUAGCUUUUUUCAUCUGCUAGAGCAGGGCUGUCAAAUUUGUGGCCUGCGGGCCGGAUGCAUCACACAUUGGCCACGUCCAUGCCCGGUUUAGCAAAGGGAGAAAAAGUGAUGUGUCACAUGACACUGCUGUUGAUAAGACUUGAUUUUGAAAAAUUGGUGCAGUAGAACAGAUAAUAGAAAUAUAACAGCAUAGUUGUUGCAGCAAUUUCUGAGUUGGCACAUGCUUUUUCUAUUAAACUCUGCUAAAAAGAAAUUUCGAGUUUGAAUCUUUGGAUUGUACUGGUUUGCAAAAAGACAGUCUUCACUUAUCUGAAUACUACCCGUAGUGUAUCUCAAAGUUUGACCUUUUUUCUAGCUAUGAACAUUUGCUAAGGCAUAGUUAUGCAUUUUUGGUUUUGUAAUUUUCCCAGUUAUAUACAUUUCCAACCAUACUUUUGCACAACUAUUGCCAGUAAUCAGUAACUUCAUAUUACUACUGGUAGACCUAUUGAAGUUGUGAUUCAAACACAUUUAGAAAUGUAUUUCUCAUUUCUUAAGUUUUUCCUUCCAAAGUUGACUUCUUGUCAAUUGCUUGCAGGUGCUUCAAUUAUAAAGAGUAGGAUUUAAGAUUGGGCUACUAAAUGGAUAUACUUUUUUCAAAAUAAAAUGUUAUUCUGGUGUUUGAAAACUGUGAAGAAUUGGUAGCAAAAGAACUCUUGAAGAUAACCUACAAAAUGACUGGCAGAUUAGUAUGCCUUUUACUAACAGAUAAACUCAUCUGGAUAAGAAAGGACGAGUAUAAUCUAUUCCCUUAUAUUUAUUAAGUAUCAAUGUGAACAAUUUGUCUAUGUAUAUACCUAAUAUUUUCCAAAUGGCAGCUUGCUUUUAUAUCUAUGCAUAUUUGGGGAAGGGAAAGAAUGUGUUAAAUAUAUUCUUUUGACACUGUAAACAAUUGCUCAACAAUGAGCUUUGAAACUCUGCACCUGUGUAUAAUUUUUAGCAAUAAAGCAGCAUGAG